rnacentral:rRNA from 1 species
UACGAAGGGGCUAGCGUUGCUCGGAAUCACUGGGCGUAAAGGGUGCGUAGGCGGGUCUUAAGUCAGGGGUGAAAUCCUGGAGCUCAACUCCAGAACUGCCUUUGAUACUGAAGAUCUUGAGUUCGGGAGAGGUGAGUGGAACUGCGAGUGUAGAGGUGAAAUUCGUAGAUAUUCGCAAGAACACCAGUGGCGAAGGCGGCUCACUGGCCCGAUACUGACGCUGAGGCACGAAAGCGUGGGAGCAACAGG